rnacentral:rRNA from 1 species
AUUGAACGCUGGCGGCAGGCUUAACACAUGCAAGUCGAGCGGAGUGAUGGUGCUUGCACUACCACUUAGCGGCGGACGGGUGAGUAAUGCUUAGGAAUCUGCCAUUUAGUGGGGGACAACAUUCCGAAAGGAAUGCUAAUACCGCAUACGUCCUACGGGAGAAAGCAGGGGAUCUUCGGACCUUGCGCUAAACGAUGAGCCUAAGUCGGAUUAGCUAGUUGGUGGGGUAAAGGCCUACCAAGGCGACGAUCUGUAGCGGGUCUGAGAGGAUGAUCCGCCACACUGGGACUGAGACACGGCCCAGACUCCUACGGGAGGCAGCAGUGGGGAAUAUUGGACAAUGGGCGGAAGCCUGAUCCAGCCAUGCCGCGUGUGUGAAGAAGGCCUUUUGGUUGUAAAGCACUUUAAGCGAGGAGGAGGCUACUAGUACUAAUACUACUGGAUAGUGGACGUUACUCGCAGAAUAAGCACCGGCUAACUCUGUGCCAGCCGCCGCCGUAACAC